rnacentral:rRNA from 1 species
AGAGUGAACGCUGGCGGCAGGCCUAAUACAUGCAAGUCGAACGGCAGCACGGCAGAGCUUGCUCUGUGGGUGGCGAGUGGCGGACGGGUGAGGAAUACAUGGGAAUCUGCCCAGUCGUGGGGGAUAACGUAUGGAAACGUACGCUAAUACCGCAUGCGCCCUUCGGGGGAAAGCCGGGGACCUUCGGGCCUGGCGCGAUUGGAUGAGCCCAUGUCGGAUUAGCUAGUUGGCGGGGUAACGGCCCACCAAGGCGACGAUCCGUAGCUGGUCUGAGAGGAUGAUCAGCCACACUGGAACUGAGACACGGUCCAGACUCCUACGGGAGCAGCAAGUAGGGAAUAUUGGACAAUGGGCGCAAGCCUGAUCCAGCCAUGCCGCGUGUGUGAAGAAGG